AUUGAACGCUGGCGGCAUGCUUUACACAUGCAAGUCGAACGGUAACAGGCCGCAAGGUGCUGACGAGUGGCGAACGGGUGAGUAAUGCAUCGGAACGUGCCCAGUCGUGGGGGAUAACGCAGCGAAAGCUGCGCUAAUACCGCAUACGAUCUAUGGAUGAAAGCGGGGGACCGAAAGGCCUCGCGCGAUUGGAGCGGCCGAUGUCAGAUUAGGUAGUUGGUGGGGUAAAAGCUCACCAAGCCAACGAUCUGUAGCCGGUCUGAGAGGACGACCAGCCACACUGGGACUGAGACACGGCCCAGACUCCGACGGGAGGCAGCAGUGGGGAAUUUUGGACAAUGGGCGCAAGCCUGAUCCAGCAAUGCCGCGUGCAGGAAGAAGGCCUUCGGGUUGUAAACUGCUUUUGUACGGAACGAAACGGUCCGGGUUAAUACCCUGGGCUAAUGACGGUACCGUAAGAAUAAGCACCGGCUAACUACGUGCCAGCAGCCGCCGUAAGAC
rnacentral:rRNA from 1 species